AGAGUUUGAUCAUGGCUCAGAAUCAACGCUGGCGGCGUGCCUAACACAUGCAAGUCGAACGCGAAAGUGGAGCAAUCCAUGAGUAGAGUGGCAAACGGGUGAGUAACGCGUGGGCGACCUACCUUCAAGUGGGGGGAUAACCUUCCGAAAGGAGGGCUAAUACCGCAUAACAUCCUGCCUUUGGAUAGGCGGGUAUCAAAGCCGGGGAUCGCAAGACCUGGCGCUAGAAGAGGGGCCCGCGUCCGAUUAGCUAGUUGGUGAGGUAACGGCUCACCAAGGCUCCGAUCGGUAUCCGGCCUGAGAGGGCGGACGGACACACUGGAACUGAGACACGGUCCAGACUCCUACGGGAGGCAGCAGUGGGGAAUUGUUCACAAUGGGCGCAAGCCUGAUGACGCAACGCCGCGUGGAGGAUGAAGAUUUUCGGAUCGUAAACUCCUUUCGACCGAGAUGAAUUUCUGCCGACCUAAUACGUCGGCAGGGUGACAGUAUCGAGGGAAGCAGCCCCGGCUAACUCCGUGCCAGCAGCCGCGGUAAUACGGGGGGGGCAAGCGUUGUUCGGAAUUACUGGGCGUAAAGGGUUCGUAGGUGGCUUGCUAAGUCAGACGUGAAAUCCCUCAGCUUAACUGGGGAACUGCGUCUGAGACUGGCAAGCUUGAGUGCAGGAGAGGAACGCGGAAUUCCAGGUGUAGCGGUGAAAUGCGUAGAUAUCUGGAGGAACACCGGUGGCGAAGGCGGCGUUCUGGACUGUAACUGACACUGAAGAACGAAAGCCAGGGGAGCAAACGGGAUUAGAUACCCUAGUAGUCC
rnacentral:rRNA from 1 species